GAUGAACGCUGGCGGCGUGCCUAAUACAUGCAAGUCGAGCGAACAGACGAGGAGCUUGCUCCUCUGACGUUAGCGGCGGACGGGUGAGUAACACGUGGAUAACCUACCUAUAAGACUGGGAUAACUUCGGGAAACCGGAGCUAAUACCGGAUAAUAUAUUGAACCGCAUGGUUCAAUAGUGAAAGACGGUUUUGCUGUCACUUAUAGAUGGAUCCGCGCCGCAUUAGCUAGUUGGUAAGGUAACGGCUUACCAAGGCAACGAUGCGUAGCCGACCUGAGAGGGUGAUCGGCCACACUGGAACUGAGAAACGGUCCAGACUCCUACGGGAGGAAGCAGUAGGGAAUCUUCCGCAAUGGGAGAAAGCGUGACGGAGCAACGCCGCGUGAGUGAUGAAGGUCUUCGGAUCGUAAAACUCUGUUAUUAGGGAAGAACAAAUGUGUAAGUAACUAUGCACGUCUUGACGGUACCUAAUCAGAAAGCCACGGCUAACUACGUG
rnacentral:rRNA from 1 species